AGACUAUAUGUUUUUUUUUAAAUGUAUUGAUUAUACGGCACGUAAUGCUUCUUAGUGGUAAGAUAAUCGUGCGUGUGAGGUGGAGGUAAUUGACCCCAAGCUGCAAACAGAAGAAAAACACCCAACAGAAAAAAACACAGCUAAGCCAGCCAAGGGUGGAUGACGUCAUGACUGGCAGGUAUACGGACCUGAUUCCCACACAGUAAGUGUACUGAACGUCUCCUUUAACGAACAAUAGAAACUUAAAAGUGUCCGUUUCCUAAUGUUAAGCACUGUGGCAGUGGGUGGAAGUGGGUUCGGUUGCAGGCUCCUGUGAUGGGCUUGGGAUACCUCCGGUGAACGGCAGAGGGCCACGCGUCUCAUCCGGGCUACAGGUCAUCGCUCGAUGCUCCACGCAGGACAUCCACGAGCAGCAGCCGGGCCUUUGCCAUGGGGAGGGAAAGGCUCCGAGGAGAUGUGCACUGAAAUGUGCUCCCUUCCUUCCUUCCUUCCUUCCUUUAUUCCUCUCAAAUGGAGAGCUCGGUUUGUCGCUGUUAUCGACGCUGAUCGCCAGGUGCAUCAGCUGAAAGGAGACAGCGGCCCCGACGGGAAACAAUACACAAAGGGGCAAGAAAAGACUGUACUCCUCUCCAAUAGCAUCCCAGCGGCAGUGAAUGGAGGAAUGAAAAAGAAGGGGGGGGAAAAAAAGAGAAGUGCAUCCAUGCACGCAGUGGCAGUGGGAGGAUCCACUCGCUCCGAUCUCGGUGUGAGACUGUGUGCAGCGGCCGGG
ensembl:lncRNA